GCGGGGCGGCGCUUACCUGCAGUCGAGCGGGGAAUGGUAGCUUGCUACUUGACCUAGCGGCGGACGGGUGAGUAAUGCUUAGGAAUCUGCCUAUUAGUGGGGGACAACAUCUCGAAAGGGAUGCUAAUACCGCAUACGUCCUACGGGAGAAAGCAGGGGACCUUCGGGCCUUGCGCUAAUAGAUGAGCCUAAGUCGGAUUAGCUAGUUGGUGGGGUAAAGGCCUACCAAGGCGACGAUCUGUAGCGGGUCUGAGAGGAUGAUCCGCCACACUGGGACUGAGACACGGCCCAGACUCCUACGGGAGGCAGCAGUGGGGAAUAUUGGACAAUGGGGGGAACCCUGAUCCAGCCAUGCCGCGUGUGUGAAGAAGGCCUUUUGGUUGUAAAGCACUUUAAGCGAGGAGGAGGCUACCGAGAUUAAUACUCUUGGAUAGUGGACGUUACUCGCAGAAUAAGCACCGGCUAACUCUGUGCCAGCAGCCGCGGUAAUACAGAGGGUGCAAGCGUUAAUCGGAUUUACUGGGCGUAAAGCGCGCGUAGGUGGCCAAUUAAGUCAAAUGUGAAAUCCCCGAGCUUAACUUGGGAAUUGCAUUCGAUACUGGUUGGCUAGAGUAUGGGAGAGGAUGGUAGAAUUCCAGGUGUAGCGGUGAAAUGCGUAGAGAUCUGGAGGAAUACCGAUGGCGAAGGCAGCCAUCUGGCCUAAUACUGACACUGAGGUGCGAAAGCAUGGGGAGCAAACAGGAUUAGAUACCCUGGUAGUCCAUGCCGUAAACGAUGUCUACUAGCCCGUUGGGGUCUUUGAUGCUUUAGUGGCGCAGCUAACGCGAUAAGUAGACCGCCCUGGGGAGUACGAUCGCAAGACUAAAAACUCAAAUGA
rnacentral:rRNA from 1 species